rnacentral:rRNA from 1 species
UACAGGGGGCUCGAGCGUUAGUCGGAAUCACUGGGCUUAAAGGGUGCGUAGGCGGCCCGCCAAGUGCUUUGUGAAAUCCCACAGCUCAACUGUGGAACAGCAGGGCAAACUGGCGGGCCUGAAGCAGGUAGGGGCUGGAAGAACAGUUGGUGGAGCGGUGAAAUGCGUAGAUAUCAACUGGAAUGCCGAUGGGGAAGCCGUCCAGCUGGGCCUGUCUUGACGCUGAGGCACGAAAGCGUGGGGAGCAAACAGG